AGGAAUAAUAACGUAGAAAAAUAAAAUAAAGGCCAGGCAUGAACCACCGUGCCCGGCGUUACCCAUGUGUUUUUGCUUGGAGUUUUUAGUACUCUAAAAGCAGACGUAAUUCAUAAUGUGGGCCCAUGUUUUUUAAAAAGUUUUUAAUGAAAUUCUGGAAGCGACAACAAAGCCAUAAGGAACAAUGUUACCCAGCUUCCUACUGCACAACCUGCAUGCCUGUUUCUUCACCCUGUCCUGAAUGUGCUGUUUAGCAUUCUUAUGAUUUUAAAAAUUUAUGUGGCAUAUGCAGAUAUUUCUAAAAAUAUAUAGUUCAGUUCUGAAAUGUUUUUAAACUUUAUAUAAAUGAUAUCAUCUCCUGCAACUUGAAAGGGCUUUUCUGGGUUUCUUUACUUCAUUUUGCUUCGUGAAUUUUAUCCACAUUAACAUGGGUAGGUGUCACGGGUUCAUUUUCUCUGCAGUAUGAGUACACCAGUCUCCUAUUGAUGGACAGGUGGUUUCCAACCUUCUGUUCCUAAGUUCUGCUCUGAAUCUUCACGAUGUAUGUGUAUACAUGUGUGACUUUCUCCAGGGGCAUGUACCUAGGCGUAGGGCUGAGUAUCUUCAAUAACUUUUUACAAAUAUAUCUAACAAAAUUUCAAAUACAUGUGCUUUUUGACCCAGUAAUUCCAUUUCCUGGAUUCUAUAAAAAAAACACGCAGGUGGCCACAAAGAUGUUCUGUUCUACGAAGUUCAGGGCAGCACUGUCUAUAAUAGCAAAACACCUACCAAAGGGGAGAACUACCUUCAAUAACACCCCACAAAUAUUUAUUGAGCACUGACCGCGUGCCAGAAACACUGUUACAGGUGUCAGGGAAACAGCUGUCUUACA
rnacentral:lncRNA from 10 species